rnacentral:rRNA from 1 species
UACGGAGGGAGCAAGCGUUGUUCGGAAUUACUGGGCGUAAAGGGCUCGUAGGCGGCCAACUAAGUCAGACGUGAAAUCCCUCGGCUUAACCGGGGAACUGCGUCUGAUACUGGAUGGCUUGAAUCCGGGAGAGGGAUGCGGAAUUCCAGGUGUAGCGGUGAAAUGCGUAGAUAUCUGGAGGAACACCGGUGGCGAAGGCGGGUCUCUGGGCAGUAACUGACGCUGAGGAGCGAAAGCGUGGGGAGCGAACAGG